rnacentral:rRNA from 1 species
UGAGGAAUAUUGGUCAAUGGGCGAGAGCCUGAACCAGCCAAGUCGCGUGAAGGAUGACUGUCUUAUGGAUUGUAAACUUCUUUUAUACGGGAAUAACAAGAGCCACGUGUGGCUCCCUGCAUGUACCGUAUGAAUAAGCAUCGGCUAACUCCGUGCCAGCAGCCGCGGUAAUACGGAGGAUGCGAGCGUUAUCCGGAUUUAUUGGGUUUAAAGGGUGCGUAGGCGGCCUGUUAAGUCAGCGGUGAAAUCUAGGAGCUUAACUCCUAAAUUGCCAUUGAUACUGGCGGGCUUGAGUGUAGAUGAGGUAGGCGGAAUGCGUGGUGUAGCGGUGGAAUGCAUAGAUAUCACGCAGAACUCCGAUUGCGAAGGCAGCUUACUAAGGUACAACUGACGCUGAAGCACGAAAGCGUGGGUAUCAAACAGGAUUAGAUACCCUGGUAGUCCACGCAGUAAACGAUGAUAACUGGGCGUAUGCGAUAUACAGUAUGCUCCUAAGCGAAAGCGUUAAGUUAUCCACCUGGGGAGUACGCCGGCNACGGUG